rnacentral:rRNA from 1 species
UACGUAGGGGGCAAGCGUUGUCCGGAAUCAUUGGGCGUAAAGAGCGCGUAGGCGGCCCAGUAAGUCCGCUCUGAAAGUCAGAGGCUCAACCUCUGAAUGCGGGUGGAUACUGCUGGGCUAGAGUCCGGAAGAGGCGAGUGGAAUUCCCGGUGUAGCGGUGAAAUGCGCAGAUAUCGGGAGGAACACCGGUGGCGAAGGCGGUUCUCUGGGCCUUACCUGGACGCUGAGGAGCGAAAGCGUGGGGAGCGAACAGG